rnacentral:rRNA from 1 species
AUUGAACGCUGGCGGCAGGCCUAACACAUGCAAGUCGAACGAGUGGCGGACGGGUGAGUAAUGUCUGGGAAACUGCCUGAUGGAGGGGGAUAACUACUGGAAACGGUAGCUAAUACCGCAUACCAUCAUAUGUGCCCAGAUGGGAUUAGCUAGUUGGUGGGGUAACGGCUCACCAGGGCGACGAUCCCUAGCUGGUCUGAGAGGAUUACCGGCCACACUGGAACUGAGACACGGUCCAGACUCGUACGGGAGGCAGAAGGGGGGAAUAUUGGACAAUGUGCGCAAGCCUGAUGCAGCCAUGCCGCGUGUAGGAAGAAGGCCUUCGGGUGGUAAAGUACUUUCAGCGGGGAGGCGUUACCCGCAGAAGAAGCACCGGCUAACUCCGUGCCAGCCGCCGCGGUAAUUC